rnacentral:rRNA from 1 species
AACGAACGCUGGCGGCGUGGCUAAGACAUGCAAGUCGUACGAACCGUUCAAUUGAGUAAUCGAUAGGAUGGUUAGUGGCGGAUGGAUGAGUAAUGCAUAGAUAACGUACCCCGGGCACUGGGAUAGCUGCGGGCUUCGGCCCUUUAGCGAAAGUGCAGAUAAUACCGGAUAAUGUCCUUCGGUCGAAUGGCUGAGGGACCAAAUGGGCUUCGGUACCGGCUUGGGAGCGGUUUAUGUCGUAUCAGCUUGUUGGUGGGGUAACGGCCCACCAAGGCAGCGACGCGUAGCGGGGCUGAGAGGUUGGCCCGCCAUAUCGGGACUGAGACACUGCCCGGACCUCCACGGAGGGCUGCAGUAACGGAUAUUGCGCAAUGGGCGAAAGCCUGACGCAGCGACGCCGCGUGUAGGACGAAUCCCCUCGGGGUGUAAACUACUGUUAGGGUGAAGAAAGGCGAGGGCUGUAAUGCCCGAGCUGAUCGU